AUACGUAGAGAGCAAGCGUUGUCCGGAAUCAUUGGGCGUAAAGGGUACGCAGGCGGAUAUAUAAGUCAACUGUGAAAGGUGCCGGCUCAACCGGCAGAGUGCAGUUGAAACUGUAUGUCUUGAGUUCAGCAGAGGAGAGUGGAAUUCCUGGAGUAGCGGUGAAAUGCGUAGAUAUCAGGAAGAACACCAGUGGCGAAAGCGACUCUCUGGGCUGCAACUGACGCUGAGGUACGAAAGCUGGGGGAGCGAACGGGAUUAGAUACCCCGGUAGUCCCAGCCGUAAACGAUGGACACUAGGUGUUGGUGGUUCGAUUCCGUCAGUGCCGGAGUUAACGCAUUAAGUGUCCCGCCUGGGGAUUACGGUCGCAAGACUGAA
rnacentral:rRNA from 1 species